rnacentral:rRNA from 1 species
UACGUAGGCGGAAGAUUAAGUCAGUGGUGAAGUCCUGCAGCUUAACUGUAGAACUGUCAUUGAUACUGGUUUUCUUGAAUUUAGUUGAGGUAGGCGGAAUGUGUAAUGUAGCGGUGAAAUGCUUAGAUAUUACACAGAAUACCGAUUGCGAAGGCAGCUUACUAAACUAUGAUUGACGCUGAGGUACGAAAGCGUGGGGAGCGAACAGGAUUAGAUACCCUGGUAGUCC